UAGUGGCACAUGUCCAUGGUUUGUGGAUGAGCAUUGGCACUAAAAACAGAUACAUGGUUGUAAAAUGAACUAACUGUUGCCUUGUACAAUGCAUUUUCGAUAAUGUAACCAAAUAGGCCCUAAGGUUUAGUUAAGAUAAUGGUAUUAAAGUAAGAAAAUUGUUCUUUUACCCACCCGUACAUCUUGUGCCAUUUAUGGGCAUGUCCAUGUUCAGCAGUUAAUACAUUUCUUGUUGUCAUCUAAUAGGGAAGAAGACAAUUAAACUUGAAAUAUGCACUAGACAGAAUGGUAACACUAGAAAUAUAAAAGCUACCAAGCAUAGUGUUGUCAUCAGGUUUAUCGAUGAAGCUUGAUGAGCUGCAGAAAGAGCUCUCUUCAAGUCAUGAAGGAAUAUUGCCACAUACCAUUCUUUCCACCCAAUAGAUCAGCACGUUAAGUGCCGAAAAACCAACUUCCAUGGAGUAGUUUUUAAAAGGCUAAUGGUGGAUGAUCCACUCUUCUCAUUGCAUACAAGUGGGGCAAUCCAGAGUUCAAAUCACUUCAGCCUUUUGACGCCACUCGUGCUAGGAGUAGACCAUAUAGAGGAUUUGUUUUUAUUUAUUUAUUUAUAUUCAAGACCAUUUUCAAUUUAUUGUAAUAAAUAUUAUAUUUUUUUGUUGUGUAGUAAUAUAAAUUUUGUUUAAUAUUCA